ACGCGCUCUCGGUCACUUCAACAGGUUCACAAAUGCCAGCAUUACGAGCUGGAGACUUGAUGGCGGCAUUUGACCUCCCUUUUCUGCAACCCGCUCCUCUCCCACAAACUUACAACGAAGAGAAAACGUAAGAGAAAAUGGCGACGCAGAUAUCACGGAUGAAAGACUUGUAGUCUCGCGAGGUCUGUGACGCAGAGACGCAAUUUCCCCCCACCUUUAAAAAUGGUGUUUUAGCCGAGGUUCGUAAUGCCUACUAUGGUGUAUUUCUGAAAUCUGAAAACUCGCCAGUCCUGGAAUAGUGAGACCUAAGAUACACUUAUUGUGCUGUAAAUGAAUAUGUAACGCUGUUAAUGCUGUUACAAUACAGAGCGCUCUGUAAUAAAUGUAAUUAUGCAUGUGUUCAUUUCAUAGUAGGAGUCCCCUACCUUAGAAUCCAGUCAAAUUGUGCCACUAGGUAACUACUAAAUCGUCAUUUUUUAAAAGACUCAAUUAUUCAGUUAUGGCUGAGCAGAUAAUAUUACUUCGCAGGUUACAUCGUUUGGUACUGCACAGCACAAUACAACAUGAUCACUUAAUGGUUUAAUUGCUGGGACUCUUCUUUUUUUAUAAGGUUUGCAGUGCUGUUUAUCUUUUUGCCAUGUUCGUUAGGGGUUGCUCUGAGCAUUAAACAGCACUAAAAAGCAUAAACAACCCCUUACGUCUCAAUUACACUUCAUCUGAAUUUAAUUCAGAGCAAAAAGUUAAAACACUGUAUGCAAUAUGAAGCAUCCAUUCAUAACUGAAGCAAUAAACAACAGAGUACAAUUU